rnacentral:rRNA from 1 species
ACGGAGGGGACGAGCGUUGUCCGGAUUUACUGGGCGUAAAGGGCGCGUAGGCGGGCUGUCAAGUCGGAUGUGAAAGCCAGUGGCUUAACCGCAGAACUGCAGUUGAUACUGCCGGCCUGGAGUAUAGGAGAGGAAACUGGAAUUCCAGGUGUAGCGGUGAAAUGCGUAGAUAUCGGGAAGAACACCAGUAGCGAAGGCGGCUUCCUGGACUAUUACUGACGCUGAAGUGCGAAAGCGUGGGGAGCAAACAG